rnacentral:rRNA from 1 species
UACGAAGGGGGCUAGCGUUGCUCGGAAUCACUGGGCGUAAAGCGCACGUAGGCGGCUCUUUAAGUCAGGGGUGAAAUCCUGGAGCUCAACUCCAGAACUGCCUUUGAUACUGAGGAGCUCGAGUCCGGGAGAGGUGAGUGGAACUGCGAGUGUAGAGGUGAAAUUCGUAGAUAUUCGCAAGAACACCAGUGGCGAAGGCGGCUCACUGGCCCGGUACUGACGCUGAGGUGCGAAAGCGUGGGGAGCAAACAGGG